rnacentral:rRNA from 1 species
UACGAAGGUCCCAAGUGUUAUCCGGAUUCACUGGGUUUAAAGGGUGCGUAGGUGGGCUGGUAAGUCAGUGGUGAAAUCCCCGAGCUUAACUUGGGAACUGCCAUUGAUACUAUCAGUCUUGAAUACCGUGGAGGUCAGCGGAAUAUGUCAUGUAGCGGUGAAAUGCUUAGAUAUGACAUAGAACACCAAUUGCGAAGGCAGCUGGCUACACGAAUAUUGACACUGAGGCACGAAAGCGUGGGGAUCAAACAGG